CAUAUUGUGAGACCUGCACAUAAAUUCUAGAGAGAUUGUUAGUGAUAAAUAAAAAUUAAUAAUAAAAGUUUGGGGGUUGAAAAAUAAAAAUAUAAAUGGAAAAUUAAAAUUUAAUGAAUAAAAUAAAAUAAAAUAAAAAUAAAAUAAAGUCAAAAUUAAUAAAGAUUCACACAAAUAGAAUAGUGUUGACAGAUUGGCAAGCGUACCAAAUCGUUCAAGUAAUAUAAUUGGUAAAACCCAAUAUCGUUCUUCCGAAGAGACUCGAAAGGCUUUCUUGUUCACGUGAAUUAAAAUAAUAAGACUUGAAAAUAAAAAUAAUUAAUUUGAUUUGAGAACAAAAAUAUUAACAUGCAAAAAAGGAUGAUUCAAUUGACAAAAGAAAACAAUGGAUGAAUGGAGUUGUUGGGGGUUUACAAUUUCAUCUAAUCCGCUCUCUCUUAUCUACUCCUCUUGAAUAUUAGUUUGAUUAAUUAAUUGUCAUGCAACUUUCUUAGCCUAUCCUUAACCUGAUCCCUCGGCGAAAAGAGCCUAAUACUAAUUACUGGUUUGCUAUCCCUAGCCUCCCCUAGCAAUUAAUACAGCAUUACAGAGCAGAAGUUAAAAGCAAUUGAUCGUCCUACCCCUAUCCCUAGGUGGUAUUGCAAAAUCAAGGAAUUACUCACCAGUUCAUGACAUUACUGUACGUCCCCGUAUCAAUAAAGACAAACAUCAGUUAUCGAAUGAGUUAAACGAUAAAGGCAUUAAGCACAUAUGAGAACCCAACAAUUAACAAUCAAAACAUAUGGAAACCACAUAAAUAAUCAAGAGUUUCAAUAAAAGAGAGUAUCAAA
rnacentral:lncRNA from 1 species